AGGAAUGGUCGUGGGUUAGGCACCGUGGCCCGCCCGUGGCUCCCGCCUGACCCCUGACUGUCCAGGAAUGGUCGUGGGUUGGGCAGCAAGGCCCGCCGGUGACUCCCCGCCUGACCCCUACGUGCCCGUGGCGUGGACCCCUGUCCUAGUAUACUUAGCAGCACAUCUCCCUCCAGUGAAGUUUCACGGAAGCAGGAGGUGAGUCAGCGAAACGAGGACCGAGCUCUGGUGUUGGGCGUCCAAGCUGAAGUCCGCCGUGGUCAGCAGGCAAGCCGGGAGCCAAAGCCUGGAGGUGGGAGAGAAGGGGGCCGGCAGGAAGGCCUGCCUUCGGGCGCCUGUCCUCGGUGUCCCGGCCCAGCAGCUCGGCUCUGGGUGGAAAGUGCAGCCGCCGGGCAACAGUGGGCCUCAAGCCCAAGGCACAUCUGGUGCCCAGGUGUUUGGGCUUCACUCUGGCAUCCGGCCAGCCAGCAAGGCUUCCCACUCCCCUCCCCCGGCCUCCCCACCCUCACCGUUAUCCCAGGAACGCUCUGGGGUCAUUUCGUUCGGAGGAGGAAGCCCAGGGACAAAUGGGCUUCUGUCUAGACCCUGAAGCUUGGUUCUCAGUCCUUGACCUGCCCUCCACUGGCCGCCCUCUGUUCUGACUGGAAUCUUCAGGACGAAGGGCUGGGAGGCUCAGAGCUGAGGCUCCCAGUGCUUUGAAAACCAGCAUGUUGCCUAAUUAGACCAUCUGGACGUGAAAGAUGUCCAGACUCACGGAAAUCCACACCCAGUGAAGGGGGUGCUUCCUGGGAGCGCUGUGCAGAACAGCUUCUCCCCGCUCUGGGCGCGCUCCCACAGCUGGACAAAAGCCCCGCUCUGGCCGUGGACAAAGCCGCGCAGGAGGGCCCUGCCGGCCGGUGUGGAAGCUGAAAGCCGGGGUCCCACCCUGCACACCUGCAAAGCCCAGGACAGCCUGCCGUCCUGCUAGAGGGGAGCGUGCGGUUUAGGGAGGGUGUUCACACUCUGCCUGUGAAGCUCUCUCUCUGGAGGGAACCGUCCUGAGAGGCUCACCUGUGGAGAACUGGCCUCAGGGAACAGACCCGAGCCCGUGG
ensembl:lncRNA